UACGUAGGGGGCAAGCGUUGUCCGGAUUUAUUGGGCGUAAAGAGCGUGUAGGCGGCCAGGUAGGUCCGUUGUGAAAACUCGAGGCUCAACCUCGAGACGCCGAUGGAAACCCCCUGGCUAGAGUCCGGAAGAGGAGAGUGGAAUUCCUGGUGUAGCGGUGAAAUGCGCAGAUAUCAGGAAGAACACCCGUGGCUAAGGCGGCUCUCUAGUACGGUACUGACGCUGAGAAGCGAAAGCGUGGGGAGCGAACAGG
rnacentral:rRNA from 1 species